rnacentral:rRNA from 1 species
UAUCAAUAAGCGGAGGAAAAGAAACCAACAGGGAUUGCCUUAGUAACGGCGAGUGAAGCGGCAACAGCUCAAAUUUGAAAUCUGGCCCUUGGGUCCGAAUUGUAAUUUGUAGAGGAUGAUUUUGGUGCGGUAUCUUCCGAGUUCCUUGGAACAGGACGCCUUAGAGGGUGAGAGCCCCGUACGGUUGAAUGCCUAGCCUCUGUAAAUCUCCUUCGACGAGUCGAGUAGUUUGGGAAUGCUGCUCUAAAUGGGAGGUAAAUUUCUUCUAAAGCUAAAUAUUGGCCAGAGACCGAUAGCGCACAAGUAGAGUGAUCGAAAGAUGAAAAGCACUUUGAAAAGAGGGUUAAAUAGCACGUGAAAUUGUUGAAAGGGAAGGAUUUGUGACCAGACUUUUUCUGGGCGGAUCAUCCGGGGUUCUCUCCGGUGCACUUCGCCCAGUAAAGGCCAGCAUCGGUUUUCGGCGUGGGAUAAAAGCAGUAGGAAUGUGGCUCUCUACGGGGAGUGUUAUAGCCUAUUGUAUAAUACCGCGCUGGGGACCGAGGUUCGCGCUUCUGCAAGGAUGCUGGCGUAAUGGUUAUCAAUCACCCGUCUUGAAACACGGACCAAGGAGUCGAACAUUUGUGCGAGUGUUUGGGUGUUAAACCCUCACGCGUAAUGAAAGUGAACGGAGGUGAGAGCCCUUACGGGUGCAUCAUCGACCGAUCCUGAAGUUUUCGGAUGGAUUUGAGUAAGAGCAUAACUGUUCGGACCCGAAAGAUGGUGAACUAUGCGUGGAUAGGGUGAAGCCAGAGGAAACUCUGGUGGAGGCUCGCAGCGGUUCUGACGUGCAAAUCGAUCGUCAAAUCUGCGCAUGGGGGCGAAAGACUAAUCGAACCAUCUAGUAGC